ACAGCAGUCGCCGCGGUAAUACAGAGGGUGCGAGCGUUAAUCGGAUUUACUGGGCGUAAAGCGUGCGUAGGCGGCUAAUUGAGUCGGAUGUGAAAUCCCCGAGCUUAACUUGGGAAUUGCAUUCGAUACUGGUUAGCUAGAGUGUGGGAGAGGAUGGUAGAAUUCCAGGUGUAGCGGUGAAAUGCGUAGAGAUCUGGAGGAAUACCGAUGGCGAAGGCAGCCAUCUGGCCUAACACUGACGCUGAGGUACGAAAGCAUGGGGAGCAAACAGGAUUAGAUACCCCCGUAGUCCCUGUCUCUUAUAA
rnacentral:rRNA from 1 species